rnacentral:siRNA from 1 species
AUAGGAUUGCUCACGAAACACAAU